GUGGAUCGGCGCCGCUCCUGCAGAUCUGCAUCGGAAUGCAGAAAAGAUCUUUUUUUUUUUUUUUAAAGUUUUGAAUUCCUCAAUGAUUUUUCUUCUGGAAAGGCAGCUUAGGAUAAUUAUUUCAGCUUUAUUGAGGGCAGAUUAGUUGAAGUCUGAGCGCUGCGUUUCAAUACACGUUGUACACGGGCCGACAAUGUGG
ensembl:misc_RNA